UUCCCGGAACUGUAAUUCCGAAGAGAAGUCCCGGAUUCUUAGAGAUUUCGUUACUCGCGAAGUCAAUGCGUUCCUCUGGUUCUUUCUCUUCUCCAUCACUGCGAUUCUGAUCAGCAAGGUUGUUGCACUCUUCAGAUUGUGGUCGAAGGCAAAGCAACUCCCUGGACCUCCUUGUCCGUCUUUUUACGGUCACUCCGAGGUUAUUUCGCGCCGGAAUCUCACUGAUCUGUUAUAUGACUCUCAUAAAAAAUAUGGACCAGUCGUCAAGCUAUGGUUGGGUCCCAUGCAGCUUUUAGUGUCUGUAAAGGAGCCAGCUAUUCUCAAAGAAAUUCUGGUGAAGGCCAAGGAUAAAUUGCCUUUGACAGGAAG
rnacentral:misc_RNA from 1 species